GGCCGCGACAUCCAAGAAGAUCCACGACUCACUCACUCACUCACUCACUCACUCACUCACUCAUUCAGUACACUCAUAUACACCAAACCGCACCACCGCUGUGCCUGUUGGUGCCCUCGCGCUAUAUGCUUACAUUCAUUCUAGUCCAUUCCAUGUAUAAUUUUUACUUGGAUCGUGUAUUAUUGUUUCGAUUAUUUUUUCGAUUACAGUUUUUAUUACUUUCUGCAAAAAAGCUGCAAUUUUGUUUACAUUCAUUGUCUUCCUGUUAUUAACCGGGAGGCGGGGGGUUGGGGGGUUGGGACCGUAUUUGAUGCAGUUGCCCAGUCAACCAUCUGGUGGCAGAAUAGCGGCAGAUCCUACCAUCUUCCGCAGAAUCUACCGGCAGGCUGGCGGCAGCCCAUGCAUUUUCACCUGUCCACCCUGUCCACCACUGUCCACUUUCGAACAAAGAAAUGAAGAAUCUCAUCCCUGUUCAUCUCUGGUGGCACUCUCAUUUCCUCUCUGGUAAUAACAGCAUUAGCAUUACACACUAGAGAUGGCAGCCUGGCAGCCUUCAAAAUCACCGACCGUACCGCGCGUUAUUGAUCCUCUCUAUUGUAGUCAAAGGCUGCGCCAGGUUGCGCCGUUGCGUGUCGUUGCGCGGCAACCAGAUCAAAACUACUUCUAUGUAUAUGUACCAUAUAAAUAGUUAUAAACAGUUAUAAACAGUUAUAAAUCAUGCGUUUUCUUGUUUGGAUGAUGUUUGGAAAGGUUGACUUUACUGUUGGGAACGAAAACACACUACGAUUGAUUUAAUUUGCGUGAGAUUACUACAGAAUAUUUAAGAACAAUGGACCACGAGGACGUCCCUACGAUAUUACACGAAUUCGUGCAGCCUCGUGUAAUAAAUCAAGAUCUAUUGAUCAAUUUGAUAAUCGAACAAGGGCCAAAAGGAACUGCUGGCAAACUGUUUUACGAAGAUGGUAUCGAUUCGAAUGAAACUGAGGAAAUUCGAAUUGAAUUUCUCAACAUUUUGAAAAUUGAUCACUUGUGGGUAAUGCCAAAUCUUGUAAAACUGAAAUUAUCCAAUAAUAUAAUUGAGAAGAUAGAGAAUCUAGAUGUUCUCGUCAAUUUAAAAGAAUUAGACCUAUCCUUCAAUCGCAUCGAGCUGAUGGAGAAUUUAGACAGUUUAGUCAACUUGGAGAUAUUACUUUUGUUUAACAAUCAAAUAGCUGAAGUAGAGGGAUUAGAUAAUUUGCGGAAUCUUACAAUACUCAGUGUGGGCAAUAAUUUCAUAGCUGAUUGGAAACAUGUGCUUUACUUGAGAAAAUUCAAAAAAUUAUAUAGUUUAAAUAUGAAUGGUAAUCCAUGCACCAAGGAGGAUGGAUAUUUAGACUAUGUAUAUGCAUUUAUGCCUCGUUUAAUAUACUACGAGUACAAAAUGAUAACCGUUGAUCAAAGGAGAGCAGCUAAGGAAAAGCAUUAUAGGGAUUUGAACAUUCUGGAAGAGACAGAAAAGAAAGAGGAUGAAGAACUGCAAGUACAACAAAAGUACGAAGAGAAACUAGCUUUUCUCACGACCGCGUACAUGGAACAUCUCGACGAAGAUUACGUGUUCCAUCAAAUGUUUCAAGACGAUAAAGAGGGAAGAGAUCUGUCCAUGGUGAACGAAGACACGCAGAAUGCUUACGAGGAAUACAAAGUGAAUUUUGUUGCGAUAUGUAAAGAAUUUUGCGAGGUAGGUGUGAAAGAACACGAGAAACGUAUGGAAGAGGUGAAUGCGUAUGACACUUGCAUGGACGAAGGUAAAACUGGCACGCAAAAUCAAGGCAGAAGAAUUGUAAACGAAGUGCUACAGAAGAAGGGCGAAUAUUUGGCGAACGUCAAACAGUUGUUAAAAAAACUGAUCGGAGAAGUGGACACUGCCACGGUGGAAGACGUGACUAAGAAAGCGCAACAGAUUGCCGAAGAGUUUCAUGAUCUGGUAACCGAUGCAUGGACGAAUUUAAUGUCCCUCGAAGUGGAACUGCACGAACAAAUAGAGGAAAUAAACGAGGUGUUCAGAAUCAAUAUAUCUGAUAUGGUGGAGGCGUUUAUAACAACCGCACGGGGAUAUUUCUCGCAAUUGCGUAAUUGCGAGGCAGAAUAUAACGAUACCAUUAACGGAUUAAUUUUAUACUUGCUCAGCGGUAUCGGAGAUGACGCGAAACUGCCGCGUCAUUUAAUAAAUUUAUGCGAGGACAAGGAUAUGUUAAACCAUAAUCUUACCAAUUCUCACGAAAGGCAUUUACAAGUAACACAUUGUCGUACUCGACGCUCGGGAGGAUACUUUGGUGACCCGAGUAAAAGAUUGGCUCGAAGAAUUGACCAAUCACUUGAUAAAAAACGAGCUGGAAAGAAACAGCGAGCGAGUGAUAGAAAUAUCGCAUUUUUCGGAUUCUCAGCAACAAGAAUUCUUACAAAUAUUGGCGAAAUUAAAUCUAAAGGUUAACGAUCAGGAAAUUAUAAUGGCACUCGACACUUGAAAUCAAAUGUAGCCAGUUAACCCGGUGAAGGGGGGCGGACGUCCCAACGAUACGAUGGCAAUACCUGCGCGAUAAAUUUGAUGUUGACUAAAAAUUGGAUUUGUAUAAAAUGAUCCGUCACGACGAGCUGCCACCGAGACGAGUACAUACCGGAAUCCGGAUUGUGUGCAACUUGGAUCAGCUUCGAAUGCAUCGUCGUGCAUGCUCUGCAUAAAGGACUUUGUACUUUUGUGAAAAAAAUUCUUGCGGCAAACAUUCUUAAACGUACAUCAAUCAAAUUAAACGAUACAAGUAUAUUGUAA